rnacentral:rRNA from 1 species
AACGUAGGACGCAAGCGUUGUUCGGAAUUACUGGGCGUAAAGCGUACGUAGGCGGCUUUGUAAGUUAGAGGUGAAAGCCCGGGGCUCAACUCCGGAAUUGCCUUUAAGACUGCAUCGCUCGAAUCAUGGAGAGGUGAGUGGAAUUCCGAGUGUAGAGGUGAAAUUCGUAGAUAUUCGGAAGAACACCAGUGGCGAAGGCGACUCACUGGACAUGUAUUGACGCUGAGGUACGAAAGCGUGGGGAGCAAACAGG